GCAUAGUUCUGGGUCUUUGUCACUGCAGGGACCAUGGUGUCAUAACUAAUGCCUACAUUUUCCUUCAGUGAGACCUUUCAUUUUCUGUGUAGGUCUAGUCUCACAAGUGCAUUAUUUCAGCCUGUACCAUGCCAUAACAAAUCAAUACAAACUCACUAUUUUUUUCAGCUACAGAGCAUCCAUGGUAACUCUCUCACUCCAUAGCACCAAAGGAUUGGAUAUUUUCCUGACAGCAUAAAAGAAAAUAAGUGAAUAAGCAAAAGGCAGUGAAUGCUUGUUUAUAGCUCAAUCAUUCCAUCUCACAAAAGUGGCUGAUGUUAGUGAGUGGGUAUAAACUUUUUACCAAUUUUAGCAAGUAUUUGUAAAUCCAUCCUUGAUUAACGUUUAUGUCUAGCAAGUAGAAACUUAAAAAUCCUCAACUGGUGGCAUCCUGCCAGCAACAACACCUUUCUAGAAGGAGAAUACAAUAUGCAAUCUUCUCAGACACGUGGUGAUUGUGUACUUGAGCUUGUCAUAGGACAUUUUUCGAUUUCAGUGGCUUCUAUGCCACUCCACACUGUGAUGGCCUGUCUGGGUUUCACUAAGGCUUCUUCUUCAGGAGUUUGGCCAGAAAAACUCCACCAUCCUCCAUCCCCAACCAUUCCCCUACUUCUCCUGGGCAAGUAGCCUUAGCUAAAAUGGCCAACUCCAUGCGUCAUAUAUCCUGUGUCCCCAAUAUCCCUCUGUGGAGAUAGUAGACUUCCUGAGAGCGAGCUCAAGAAAGAAAAGGAGCAUGAAAAACCAUAUCCCAGGGUACCUUUUCAUGAGUUGAUGUCCCUUCCACCAAUAGCAUCUUCAUUGAGCGAGCUGUGCCAGGCAACAUUGACAGAUGUUGACCACAGGUUUCUGUUGGCAAGGCAACCUUCCAUCCCAUGCCUAAGACAGUCAGGGAGGAGAGAGGGAUGGGUGCCACUUCACAUCUGCACAUCAUAACUCCUGUAGGUAUUUUUCCAUGCAGCAUCUAAACUGUGGACUAGAAUUUUAAACUUCUAUCGCCAUGUAUCUACGGCUUGAAACCAGCUGAAUAUAAGAACAUUCUGUGCAUUCCCUUUUAGCCCAUGAACUUUCAGCGGUAUGUGGAGUUAAUCCCUAUUUAUGCAGCUGAGUCGCCAAGAGGGAACUAGUUUGCAUAUUUAUCAGUUAGGUGACUUGAAAACUUGAUGAGAGUUUCAGCUGAAUUAUUCCUUUCAGCUCUGCCUUUGAUUUCAAGCUUGAGUAGGUCAUAAUUUUAAGAGAGCAUGGCAAGGAUAGGAUCUUUACAACCUAAUAGCUCCUUUUAUUAGGUGGGUAAUUAUAUAUGAAUCCCUGAAUGAAAUAUUUUGAGCAAAAUGGCACUGUAACAGAAAUAAUAAUUCAGAUUAUUUUUUUACAGUUUUAUGUCGGGAAGGAAAUCUGAUGUCAAAGAGAGGGCUUGUUCAAAUGGUUCAUUAGAAAGUCUGGUCCAUUUGCAAAACGUUUCCUUCAACAAGAGUGCUUGUUCAAUUUACUGAGAUUUUUUUUUUUUUCUGGAAGUACUUUCGAGGAACUAUGUGAUGUUAUUCAAUGGGACAGAAUGCUUUUGUUCAAUAUUUGGGCACUGAGGUAGACAGCAGUUGACUGACCUGAAAUAAAGCAUUUCUUAUCAUAGCAAUGAAUAUUUUAAAAAUAAUCCACUACUUCGAACUGGAAAAAUGUUUACUGAACUACCAUAACUUCCUCCACUCCCCAGAGUGUAUUCCCCUGUCUAAUAAUAAAAAGAAAGGAGAGCCACUUUUUAGAGGCAUUUGAUAUCAAUGAGAGUCACCUCAAAUUUCAGGUUGGGGUUUGCUACAAACCUCAAAUUUCAAAUUCCAUGGAAUAAGUUAUAAUGAAAGGUGUUCUGUAACAUCUAGUUGUAAAGUUAAGACAACCAGAAUUUUUAUAAAACUCGAGGUUUUUCAAACUUUCAAUGAUUUCAGGGAGUGUAAUCUUUAAAAGUUGGAUGUAUGCUUUCCAUUUUUAGUCAGAGUUAUAUUUCCUCCACAACUCUUGAAAAAUUCAGUAAACAAAUAAUUUAUUUUAGCAAUUGGUGACUCUUAAUAAGUCGUAUUGUCAUGCCUUGAAUAUACAUUGGAACCAUGAGACUGGUUUCAUUAACUCAGUGAUUGUAACAUGUAUUUAGUCCAACACGGCUUCUGCUGAGCUCUUGUUCCCAUCAUCUUUCCAGUGGCUCACGUGUACACAGUAAAAUUCCCCAGGGUUCCAGGUGGCAAGUGAAUUCCAAGGUCUAUGACGGUGUGAGGCAGCCUGAAUUUGUCUAGCUUGUGUGUCUAGCUCACUCCAUACAAGACCCUUUAAACUUAUAAAUCUCUUUGAGCCCCACAGGGCAAAGCUGAAGAGGCAGCCAGCAUCUCUGCCACCAGCAGUUAGUUCUCUGGAAAUGGGAAAAAACAUCAAACUUGGCAGGAGGACUCAGGAUUUUAUACACUAUGCUCAAAUGAAAAGCAAGAGCCUGCUUUUAAGAACUUUGCUAUAUUUUUUCUAUUUCAUUUUGAUAAGAAAGUAAUUUCCAUUCCUCCAGAAAUUUCUGCAUUUGUUUAAACUGACAAAAAUAAAGAGGGCUCACAAUAUAUUCAAAACAUUUGUAUAAUGCUUUAGUCAAAAGUUAAGUAUUUCUUAGUGCUUAUAGCUGCCUCCAUAUAAUAGACCCAUAAUCUUCUAGAAUAUUUAAGUAAUACAGCUUUAUAUUUGGCUCUUAUUAAAUACAUACUCAGUUCAACAACCCAGAAAUAAAAAAUUCAAACCAAUGCUAUAAGAAUCCGACUUACUUAGGGAUUUCUUUAAGGAACUGGACAUAGUAGUAGUAGUUUGGGUUUUUUCAAAAUGAAGAUUGCUAAGAAUGAGGCAUGUGCUCAGAAAAGGUGACAGUUACAAAAAGAGACUCCAGAUUAACGUUUUUAAGCCAAAGGGUGUCAUUCAUUGGCUUUCCCAAGAAACAACUCCCCAAGCAUGGGUCCAGAGUUUGUUCUCAGAGAUGAUUGUCGAAAGUUCCCUCUCCUUUGGAGCCUUCUCCUAACUUUUUUACUCUAGUCAAAAGUUAAGUAUUUCCUAGUGCUUACAGCUGCCUACAUAUAGUAGACCCAUAAUCUUCUAGAAUAUUUAAAUAAUACAGCUUUAUAUUAAAGUCACCUACAAAUGGAACACAGUGUCUCAGACAUGAUAGAUGCACAGUGAGUCCCACGAACAGUUACUUACGUCCUAAGAGGCAUCCUGCCAUUUUUCAUAAAACCUUAACCUGGGUUCUGGAAGUGUUGGAAUGCUUAUUUCCAGUCAGCAAGACAUAGGAAAUGGAAAACUCCCAAGUCUUGCGUGAAUCUAAAGAAAUAAUAGUAAUGUGGACUUCAAAAAGAUGCAGAGCAAGUGUAUAGAAUCUGUAUAUUCUACCUUUCUUAUCAAGUUCUCUUUAUGCAACCACAGGAUGUCCCCAAAGGCCAAAAUUUAGUAUCAGGGCUUCAUAUACCUGGGUAGAUCUCUUUACUGAAAUGUAAGUGAAAUAAGUACCUAAUAAAAAUUCAAAAU
rnacentral:lncRNA from 1 species